rnacentral:tRNA from 2 species
CGGAAUAUAGCGCAGCUCGGUAGCGUGCCAUCUUGGGGUGGUGGAGGCCGCAGGUUCAAAUCCUGCUAUUCCGA